rnacentral:rRNA from 1 species
AUUGAACGCUGGCGGCAGGCCUAACACAUGCAAGUCGAACGAGUGGCGGACGGGUGAGUAAUGUCGGGGAAACUGCCUGAUGGAGGGGGAUAAAUACUGGAAAAGGUAGCUAAUCCCGCAUACCAUCAGAUGUGCCCAGAUGGGAUUAGCUAGUUGGUGGGGUAACGGCGCACCAAGGCGACGAUCCCUAGCUGGUCUUCGAGGAUGACCGCACAAACUGGAACUGAGACACGUCCCAGACUCCUACGGGAGGCAGCAGUGGGGAAUAUUGCACAAUGGGCGCAAGCCUGAUGCAGCCAUGCCGCGUGUAUGAAGAAGGCCUUCGGGUUGUAAAGUACUUUCAGCGGGGAGGCGUUACCCGCAGAAGAAGCACCGGCUAACUCCGUGCCAGCAGCCGCGGUAAUAC